rnacentral:lncRNA from 1 species
GUCAUCGGUUGAGUUUAAUCCCAGCUUGGGUUUUAACAUUAUUAAUGGAAAAUGAUCACUAUUUUCUUGGCAAGUGGUUGUGCAUCACGUACGACCCGAUUCGAUGUGUAGUUCUCACUCUGUCAAAAUGGUAUAGCUUUUAAUGAAGUCGAGAAACAGAACUUUAAUCUGAAACAAUAUUGAACUUGUUGAGAGGUUUGCUCUCUUCGAGUAUAUGACACUUCAAAGACUUUUAAAAAUUUUAGUUUAAAUUUAUGUGACAAACCAAAACCAUGUAAUAAAGGGAAGUUUAGCCAAUACAGGACCAUAUUACAGUAGAAUUUUGUCAAAUUUACAUUUUUUUUUCCUAUUUUUGUUUGAUUGAAUUUGCAGAAAAUCAACAAUGGAGUAUUUUAAGCAUAUGAAAAGAUUGGGAGAAGCUUUGUUUGAGUUGCUAUCAGAGGCACUUGGUCUUCAACCAGACCACCUUAACUCAAUCGGAUGUAGUAAAGGGUGUAGCACAGUGACCCACUACUAUCCACCUUGCCCUCAACCUGAACUCACUUUAGGGGUAAGGAAACAUGCAGACGCAGGCAUAUUAACAGUGCUUCUACAGAACCAUAUGGGCGGCCUCCAAGUCCUUCACGACAGUCAAUGGUUCGACGUCCACCCCACUCGAGGUGGUUUGGUCAUAAACGUCGGCGAUCUUCUUCAAGUUAGCUUCAAUUCACAUAAACUCUAUAUGAAACUGUCCUAAUAGACUAGCUACUGACUCUUUUUAUGUUGUUUAUGGUAGGUUUUAUCAAAUAAUAAGUUCAAGAGUGUGAAACAUAGAGCAAUUUCCAGUCAUGUCGGACCUAGAAUUUCGGUGGCAUGUUUUUUCUCAGGACAUGCUAGCUUGCUUGACAAGCCAUUUGGACCAAUCAAAAAGCUGAUAUCAGAGGCAAAUCCUCCUCGAUAUGAAGAGUUUUUGUUAAAGGAAUAUUUUGCCAAGUUUUUUGCAAGCUCACUUGAUUCCAAGCCUCCUAUAGAUUACUACAAGCUGUGAAGCUAUAAACUAUCAAUUUGCCGUUAGAAUACCAAGCUGAAUAAAAUAGUCUUUUGUGUGUGUGUGUGUUUUAAUUUGUAUCACAAAUUUAGUAAUUGUAGUGUAGUGUAUUUUGUUUGUAUAAUAAGCAUGUUUAAGAUAUUUUAUAUUUUACAUAAAUUUUGAUAUAUAAAUAAUCUGAAUUAUAUUGUUUUCAAGACAUACAUAUAUUCUUAUCAUAUUUGUGUUGUUUUCUCUUAUCACAUUGUAUUUUUUCCCACAUAAUUUAAUCUUAGAAACAUGGCUAUGGUUUCGUCUAGUCUAGACUAUUGUGACCUCCCUUUUUAAGUCUACCCAUAGUAAAGAUUUCAUUGGAAAAAAUAUCAUGAAUGCGUUUAUAAUAUAAAUUAGAUUACAUUUUACCAUCUUUACUAUUUCUGCUAUGUCACGCAACAUGUGCAAUUUAACUAAAAAAUUGAGUUUCAAUCAUUGUAGUUCACGUCUUACCUUUUAAUAAAAUUAAUUAUAUAAUAAAUUUUAUAUUUAUUUUUUUCAAAAUAGUACUUUUUUCGGCUACCACUUCAACAACUAGUUAAAUACACAAUAGAUUGUUUUUAAAAAAUUUAAGGUAAAUUGCACAUAAGUUUACUAAAUUAUUAAUUAUUAAUAAGUUUAUGUUUUGGUCACUUAACUUAAAAAAAAUUACAAAAUGAUCAUUAAAUUAUUAGAAAGUUUUCAUUUAAAUCAUUAGGCUAUUAAAAUCAUUAUUGUAUAGUCUUUUCUCUUCGCACUGUGUGCACCAAUCGAAAGUUUUUUUCCCUUUUCUCUUAUAAUUCAAUUUUUCUCAUGAAACCACUUUAAACGUCAUAAUUUGUCAAUCAAAAUUUAAACAGUUUUAUUCUCUAAUCUUCGACACUGACCAUCAGAUUGACUUGGAUCUAAAGUAUAUCUUACUCGUCGAUGAGUAUUAAUUUACUAUACUAAUUACUGAAUUAUUGCUUGAAACUCAUUAUAUAGAUUUAAAAAGAAUAACAAUAAUUUAAAUAAAAACUUUCGAAUAGUUCAAAAUUAAAAGAUAAACUUAAUUUAGUGAGCUAUAAGUAAAUUAACCUUUUAAUUUUUAUGGUUUUUUAGUAAUUUAUUAAAUUAAAUCAGACUAAAUUGAUUCAACUAAAAGUCGGUCUUCUAAUUCAUUCAACCACUUGUGGAGAUUUUAAAAGAAAAAGAAAAAAACAAUUCAAUUAGCAGAGAAAAUGGCAACCGAAACCUCAGUGGAUUACGACAGAACCAAAGAGUUGAAGCAAUUCGACGACACAAAAGCUGGUGUUAAAGGACUCGUCGAUGCCGGAAUACUUAACAUCCCCAAGAUUUUCGUUCGACCAGCCGAGGACCUUGCCGCCGAUGAACUGAAUUCUGGCCACAAAAACGUCGAAGUCCCGAUCAUAGAUGUAAGCAACGUCGGAGACAGUAUCCGGCGACAGGAGAUCGUAAACGAAGUUAAGAUUGCAUCAGGGGAAUGGGGUUUCUUCCAAGUGAUAAACCAUGGGAUCCCAUUAAGUGUUUUGGAUGAAAUGAUUGAAGGGAUACGUUUGUUUAAUGAACAAGAUUUGGAGUUGAAGAUGGAGCUGUAUAGCCGUGACGGUGCAAAGAAAGUGAAAUUCCUCUCUAACUUUGAUAUUUAUACUUCAAAAGCUCUUGAUUGGAAGUACACUUUGCAACUCUCUUUGCUUGAUUUUGAUCCUGACCCCUCUGAAAUGCCACCUGUCUGUGUCACGGACUUGGAGUUUUCCCACACAUCCGUGCGGCCUUAGGCAGUUUCUUGGCUUAAAAAUGCCUAAGUCAGCCUAACUUCCACCAAUAAUGGAUUCAACCGUAAAAACGCCUAAGUCAGCUCAACUCGCAACAAUAAAGGAUUCAACAGAAUUCCCUUAAAGUUUCCAUGAAGAACAGCGGAAGAACGAAUUAAGAACGAUCUUUGAAAGAUGAACAAAAGCAAGAACGCUUGAGAGAAAAGUUUGAGUAAAUGCUCUCAAUUCUUAUUCACAAAGAAUAAUGAAACAAUUACAGGAGUCAGUCCAAAUGAGGGGGAGGCUCUCUAUUUAUAGUUGAGCUCCCCCAAAACCGAUGGCUACAAUUAAAAGCUGUAUUCAAUUAGGACUCUAACUUUACAGAAUUAGAAGCUGUGUACAAUUAGAACUUCUAAGACUACUUAGUCCUAUCUUCAUUAUCGGGCCCAUCAGGCUUCAAUGUGACAGGCCUGUCCAACAGCUCUUUGAAUCGGGCCAGUUCUCGUAGGCCAAAUGAUCCCUAUCUGAGCAACAGACCUCCAUUGGAUGCAUUUGGUGCGCUUGUCACGGGCUUUGAACUGCGGUCCGUGACAUUCUCCCCCACCCAUUCUCGCAACGCCCUCGUUGCGACUUCUGAAUGGCACUGACUUGAUUCGCCUCGGUCUCGUCUCGUCGCCUUAGCCUUUCCCUUUCUUUGGGAUUCUUGCCUCGGCUUUUGUCGCUUCUUAACUCGAGCCGUCCUGCUCGUCGCAUUUACUCUGGUCAACUGUCCCAUAUGCAUCGCUUCUUUUCCUUUAAAGUCUGAUGCACCACCUACCUUUCCCAUAGGUGGAAGCCUUGUCGAUGACUCGGCUAACUCUGAUACUUCACUCAACUUGAGCCUCAUUGGUCCCAGCUUCACUGUUUUCAUCGUAACUUUAUCCGCUAAGUUAGAUGACAAACUCACCUCUUCCUUGGGUGGAAGCCCCUUCGACGACUCACCAAGCUCAGACGUUGCGUUUCUUUCGACUCCGGCUUGCUUUGGACAGUUCCGUAACUCAUGCGGACCACGGCACAAGAAGCACUUAACUUGCUUCUUUUUGAUCCUCUUUGCCCUCUUGGCUUUGGCUUUUCCCUUGCUCGAACCAAGCUUCUUGGGCUCAUUGUCUGCUCCAUCGUUCCCCUCGAUGACAGACUUCUUCGGACACUUCCGCAACCUAUGCGGACCAUGACACAAGAAGCACUCCACUGGCUUCUUCUCGCUUUCGGCCUCCUUGGCUUCGACACCCCUUGCGCUCGAACCAAGUACCAAGGCCUUACCCACCGGCUUCUCCUUAAGCGCGGAUUUCUUCGGACAUUUCUUUAACAUGUGUGGACCAUCGCAAAGAAAGCAUUUCAGCUUGUCCCUUUUCCUCUUGGGUUUCUUCUUCCCAACUCGUGGUUUCCCCUUACCACUAUUGUCGCCGUGGCCAUUGCCAUCAACAAUUUCUUCCUUGUGAUUCAUUUCACAUACGCCCCUUUCCUUGGACUUGGAAGACCCAAGCUUGUCUUUCCCUAAACCAAGCUUGCCCACGGACUCAACUACCGUAAUGGCUUCCGACAGCUUUUGGACACCUCUUUGUUCCACCUCCUGUCUGACCCACGGCUUCAAUCUCUUUUGAAAAGCAAGCAAUGCUUCUUCAUCGGUCACAUCUAAAACUUGGAGCAUUAGUUCCUUGAACUCUCGAACAUACUCCCCCACUGUGCCCCGUUGCAUUAUCUCUUGCAACUUUGCCCGAGCUUCUUCCUCGGUAAAUUCUGGGUAAAACUGUCCCUUCAACUCGCAUUGGAACUCUUGCCACGUCCCAAUCUCACCUCGCCUUUUAUCUGUGGUCCUACCUCGCCACCAUAAAAGCGCAACGUCAGUAAGAAACAUUGAAGCAGUGUUUACCUUAACCGCAUCCUCCAUGAUGCCUUUGGCACGGAAGUAGUUUUCCAUCCUCCACAAGAAAUUGUCCACAUCACAUGCAGACCUUGUCCCCACAAACUCUUUCGGCUUUGGGACAUCCUCAUUACUGAGUGCUGCAUUUGCCACUCCUUUCCCCACGACUGCUUGACACAAGGCCAGCUCUCCCUCGAGCUCCUCUAUUCUUGUGCUCAAAGCCCUCGUCGUGGCCAUUGUUUCCUCCUUCAAAGCCAUCAUCAUGGCCUCGAGAGCAUCAUUCCUUUCCGACAGCUUAUCCCUGUGUGAAUUAAACAACUUGUUUACCUUAUCCAUAGUGGAAUCAAGAGACAUCUUUACAUAGUCUCUGGACUGCUCUUCCCAGUUUGCUAUGCGAUCCUCGACCCCAUCGAGUGCCUCCUUUACAUCCGCCAUGGAUCCCUCGAGUUUACCCACACGUUCCUCUACUGCCGAUAUUGUCUCCCUCAAAGACUUCCUCGCCCACCUUUGUUCGAACUCUUCUUUCGACAUCCCAACGGUGCCUUUGAACCAACUCGAAUGCUUGGCUCAAAACUUGGCUCGGAUACCACUUGUCACGGACUUGGAGUUUUCCCACACAUCCGUGCGGCCUUAGGCAGUUUCUUGGCUUAAAAAUGCCUAAGUCAGCCUAACUUCCACCAAUAAUGGAUUCAACCGUAAAAACGCCUAAGUCAGCUCAACUCGCAACAAUAAAGGAUUCAACAGAAUUCCCUUAAAGUUUCCAUGAAGAACAACGGAAGAACGAAUUAAGAACGAUCUUUGAAAGAUGAACAAAAGCAAGAACGCUUGAGAGAAAAGUUUGAGUAAAUGCUCUCAAUUCUUAUUCACAAAGAAUAAUGAAACAAUUACAGGAGUCAGUCCAAAUGAGGGGGAGGCUCUCUAUUUAUAGUUGAGCUCCCCCAAAACCGAUGGCUACAAUUAAAAGCUGUAUUCAAUUAGGACUCUAACUUUACAGAAUUAGAAGCUGUGUACAAUUAGAACUUCUAAGACUACUUAGUCCUAUCUUCAUUAUCGGGCCCAUCAGGCUUCAAUGUGACAGGCCUGUCCAACAGCUCUUUGAAUCGGGCCAGUUCUCGUAGGCCAAAUGAUCCCCAUCUGAGCAACAGACCUCCAUUGGAUGCAUUUGGUGCGCUUGUCACGGGCUUUGAACUGCGGUCCGUGACAUCUGCAGGUAACUAAACACUAUCUCGGUUUUUUUACCCCAUAUGAUUUUCGAGUUUCUCAAGAGAAAUAUUCGAAUUGCGGUCUAUUUAAGGUUCACGUAUCCCUUAACAAGUUAACAUAUGAUAUUGUAUUAAGUUGAGGUUUUGUUUUGUGUUUCGAUUCUAUUGAAAGCCACGCAAGAUUCAGAGCAUUUCAUUAAAUUGAAUGUGUGUACUAAAGAAAAUAUGAAUUAUUUGUUAUUGGUAUAGUUUUAAUCUAUGCCUUAAAAUGAUAUUUAAGGGCAUGUAUAGAUCAAGUUGUAGCACAUAUGCUCAAUGAUGCCAUUUAGGGCUUGGUUCAAAUUCUGCCAUUGGCAAAUGAUUAUAAUUUCCUUGGUAGUUGGGUAUAUGUUAUGUAUAGUCUGAUUCAAUGAGAUGUUCUCAUUUUAUGAACAGAGAAGCUGGAGUUAAAAUUGCAUGAUAUAAAACAUACUAUAGGAAUUUACUGUCUCUAGCUAAUCAGUACUUCUAAAACUUUCUAAAAAAUGACUUUGAAAUAUGUAGUAUUCCUUAGAAUUGUUACCAACCAAAACUAUGUAAUUAAGGGGUGCUUAGCCAAUAUAGGAACAUAUAUAUUAGUAGAAAAUUUCCAAAUUUACAUUGGGCUUUUUUCUUUGGUUUUAUUAAAUUUGCAGAAAAUCAACAAUGGAGUAUAUUAAGCAUUUGAAAAAAUUGGGAGAAACUUUGUUUGAGUUAUUAUCAGAGGCACUUGGUCUUCAACCAGACCACCUUAACUCAAUCGGAUGUAGUAAAGGGUGUAGCAUAGUGGCCCAUUACUAUCCACCUUGCCCUCAACCUGAACUCACUUUAGGGGUAAGGAAACAUGCAGAUGCAGGCAUAUUAACGGUGCUUCUACAAAACCAUAUUGGCGGCCUCCAAGUCCUUCACGACGAUCAAUGGUUCGACGUCCACCCCAUUCGAGGCGGUUUGGUCAUAAACAU